rfam:Puccinia sorghi strain RO10H11247 Scaffold_2492, whole genome shotgun sequence.
GCGAACUUAGCGCAUAGGUUAGAGCAUCGCUCAUGCAUGCUAAGGUUGUGGGUUCAAAUCCCACAGUACACC